ensembl:lncRNA
CUCCAGGCGAGUCAGAAAUACUUCAAGUCUCCUGCUCUCUGCGCUGGAAGGAAACUGAAGUUUUCCGUUUCCCCUCCGCUCCGUGCAGUUGCACAUGGCUUCUGAGAGGGCUGCUCCCCUCAGCUGCCCAGGAGCAGGCAAGGCCAGGCAUGUGAUGUGCGUUUAUUCCUAGGCAGUGCUGCUAACUUUGCAGUGGGAGGUCCGGUCUCUCCAGUCCAGACUUAGACCGACGCCUGUUAACUGUGGGGCCUGGAGUAGCUCCCUUGGCCCGACCCCACCCACUGUGGCUCAGCUGAUUUGUGCCUGGGUGCCCAGCCGUGGCCGUUGGAAUUGGGGGCUUGAACGUGGAGGGGUUUCGCCUUGAGCAACAUGAUGUUCCCCGGAAGAGGACACCCAAAUAGUUUCUUCCAUCCCUGCCCUCAGGAUAUCAGCCCCUCCGCCUACCCUGCUGACUUUCUCAGGGAUGACGAGGGCAUGGGGUGGGCGCCCCAGGACCAUCAGGAGGCAGCCAGCUGGGAUUACCGACACGGGAGACGCGAGGAAGGCUUCAGGGACAGGUGGCACUCGCCCUUUUCCCGAGACAUCGAACCCUACCCCGCUGACUUUUACGGGGGUGACAAGGGCAGGUGCUGGGCACCCCAGGACCAUCAGCAGCCAGCCAGGUGGGAGAACCAACCCAGGAGGCACGAGGAAGGCUUCAGGGGUGGUUGGCACUCGCCCUUUUCCCGAGACAUUGAACCCUACCCCGCUGACUUUUACGGGGGUGACAGCGGUGGAUGCUGGGCACCCCAGGACCAUCAGCAGCCAGCCAGGUGGGAGAACCAACCUGGGAGACAUGAGGAUGGUUUCAGGGAUGAGUGGCACUCGGCCACACCACCUAACCAGCACUGCCCGGAGUCAGUAUCGAGGGAGGAACAUGGCAACUCCUGGGACAGGGAGCAAGACUUCUUCCCCAGGAAGUACCGUGGCCGCGGCUGGAAGCAUCACCGUGGUCCUUUCCGAGGCGGCUACCGAGGGAAAUUCACCCCUCACUACCACUGCUUUCAGUCUUACUCCUCCAGAGAAAAAUUCAAGUCAUCCAGGUCGUCGGCCUCCCGCUCCCCAGAGAGAUGCUUGGUGUCCAGUAGAAAGAAAAGUGUUUCUUCUAAGACAGAGAAAGCGAAAUCAGCAGCGCCCAAAAAACCUGGAAAAUCCAAGAAAGACUCUGCAGCUCCAGUGAAAGAACCCAAACCGCCCCAGGUCCAGCUGGACGCUAGCCAGACAGCCACAGACCCUUCCAGCCAAGCCGGCUCUGCGCUGGAUAUUGAACCCCCAGCUUCACCCGAAACCACAGAGGAUCUUCAUCCCUUGGGAACGGAAGGAAUUGAGCUGGUCCAGCUGGGGGCCGGUCUGGAGGCUGCAGACAAUCACAGCCAGGCCUGCUGCAUUCUGGCAACUGACUCAGUCCUGGCUGACACCCCGAAGGAUCUUUGUCUCCCGGAGGAAGAAAUCAAGCUGGUCCAGUUGGAAGCCAGCCACGAAGCCACAGAUGAUCCCAGCCAGGCGGGCUCUGAUCUGGCUGAUGAGCCCCUAGCCUCACCUGAAACUACAGAGGAGCAUCAUCUCAUCAGAACAGAAGAUACUGAGAUGCUCCAGCUGGAAGACAACCUGAAGGCCCCAGAUCUUCUCAGCCAGGCUGUCUCUGCUCUAGCUGCUUUACCUCCAGUCUGGUCUGAGAUCACAGAGGAGCUGCCUCCCGUGGUAAAGGAAGAAAUUGAGCUGGAGCAGCUGGCCACUCAUCAGGAGGACGCAGGCUAUCCUUACCAGGCCUGCUCUGCUCUGGCUACCCCAGCGGAGACCAUGCAGUACCUUCGUUCUGCUGCCAUACUGGCCAGAAAGGAAGAAAUUGAGCUAUCCUACCAGCAAUCCAGCCUGGCCUUUGCUGUGGUGGCCACCAUGCUGCUGCACAAGGAGCCCUCCAUGGAGGCGGCGAUGGGGUCUGCGCUGCGGGCCAACCUGCGGCAGGUCGGGGGCCACUGCCUGCGGGAGCUGGAGCACUUCAUUAGCAGCUACGACUCGGGCUCCACCCACUCAUGA